rnacentral:rRNA from 1 species
GAGUUUGAUCAUGGCUCAGGAUGAACGCUGGCGGCGUGCUUAACACAUGCAAGUCGAACGAACCUUCGGGUUAGUGGCGGACGGGUGAGUAACGCGUGGGAAUCUGCCCUCAGGAGGGGGAUAACGGUUGGAAACGACCGCUAAUACCCCAUAUGCCGAGAGGUGAAAUGAAUUUCGCCUGAGGAUGAGCCCGCGUCUGAUUAGCUUGUUGGUGAGGUAUGGCUCACCAAGGCUUCGAUCAGUAGCUGGUCUGAGAGGAUGAUCAGCCACACUGGGACUGAGACACGGCCCAGACUCCUACGGGAGGCAGCAGUGGGGAAUUUUCCGCAAUGGGCGAAAGCCUGACGGAGCAACGCCGCGUGAGGGACGAAGGCCUCUGGGCUGUAAACCUCUUUUCUCAAGGAAGAAGAUAUGACGGUACUUGAGGAAUAAGCCACGGCUAAUUCCGUGCCAGCAGCCGCGGUAAUACGGGAGUGGCAAGCGUUAUCCGGAAUUAUUGGGCGUAAAGCGUCCGCAGGCGGCCUUUCAAGUCUGCUGUUAAAACGUGGAGCUUAACUCCAUCAUGGCAGUGGAAACUGAUCGGCUUGAGUAUGGUAGGGGCAGAGGGAAUUCCCGGUGUAGCGGUGAAAUGCGUAGAGAUCGGGAAGAACACCAGUGGCGAAGGCGCUCUGCUGGGCCAUUACUGACGCUCAUGGACGAAAGCCAGGGGAGCGAAAGGGAUUAGAUACCCCUGUAGUCCUGGCCGUAAACGAUGAACACUAGGUGUCGGGGGAAUCGACCCCUUCGGUGUCGUAGCUAACGCGUUAAGUGUUCCGCCUGGGGAGUACGCACGCAAGUGUGAAACUCAAAGGAAUUGACGGGGGCCCGCACAAGCGGUGGAGUAUGUGGUUUAAUUCGAUGCAACGCGAAGAACCUUACCAGGGCUUGACAUCCUGCGAACCUUUAAGAAAUUAGAGGGUGCCUUCGGGAACGCAGAGACAGGUGGUGCAUGGCUGUCGUCAGCUCGUGUUGUGAAAUGUCGAGUUAAGUCUCGUAACGAGCGCAACCCAUGUCUCUUGUUGCUCAUUGAGUGCUUAAGAGAGACUGCCGACCAACAUCGGAGGAAGGUGUGGAUGAUGUCAAGUCAGCAUGCCCCUUACAUCCUGGGCUACACACGUACUACAAUGGUAGGGACAAUGAGCUGCGAUCCUGCGAAGGCUAGCCAAUCUCAAAAACCCUAUCUCAGUUCGGAUUGUACUCUGCAACUCGAGUACAUGAAGGUGGAAUCGCUAGUAAUCGCUGGUCAGCUAUACAGCGGUGAAUACGUUCCCGGGUCUUGUACACACUGCCCGUCACACCAUGGAAGCCGACUCUUCCCUAAGUCGUUACUCGAACCCAUUGGGACGAGGAUGCCGAAGGCAGGGUUGGUGACUAGGGUGAAGUCGUAACAAGGUAACC